rnacentral:lncRNA from 10 species
GGAUUUGCCGCCGCGCUUGGGAAGCCGCCACCGCCGCCGCUGCUGCAUGGCACUAGGCUCCCGGCGGGGCAGGUUCCGCAGCCGGCACCGCUCUGGCUAGGCGCACGGAGGCGCCUUGCUUAGUCUGACCCUUAUUUGGCCAGGCGUAAAACUUGUCCUGCCUAAAAGCCUACUGAGACCUCCUAACUGGUCUAAUCCGCGGGAGACGCCAAAGGCGGCGGCCGUUUGUGCGCACAGGAUUUUUCUUGGAGCUGUAGCAGUCUAGGAAGCCAGGGUGGAACUUUUGCUAAGCUCCCGUUGUAAGCCCAGAGCUGUAAUAACUGCUGAGACACAACCAGCAGUAUACAGGCUCCAGUUGGAAAUCGAGAACUUUCCAGGGCUGUCACCCAGGCUGGAGUGCAGUGGUGCCAUCACAGCUCACUGCAGCCUCGACCUCCUAGGCUAAAGUGAUCCUCCCAACUCAGCCUCCCGUAGCUGGGACUACAGGAAUGUGCCACGCCCAGGUCUAUCCAGCUGAAGUCAAAAAUGCCCCUCUCAGGCUGCCCCCAGUGACUCCAGUUUCCUAGCAGAGCCUAACCAGGUUAAGAAAUUUGUCCAUGGGUGCCUGAACCGAAAGUCAUAUUUCUUUUUACCACAAUGUGCUGCCUUAGAGGAACAAUUGCAUACAAUGGGAUCAAGUGCAUUGUAGGCUCUAUUUAUAACAUGCAUAUGAGAAAGAGAGCCCAUUGAGAUCUGCCUCAAGCUGAAGAUGAAAAGGGGGCCUCUGGAGUCGCUUGAUCGAGCAGAGUCUGAUAGAGUUAUCAGGCUUUUGCAGAUAGAAUGCCUACCACCGUAGGAUACAUUGUCAUAAUCAGUGUUUAGGCAAAACACCUGGACUUCUGCAAGGAC